rnacentral:rRNA from 1 species
UACGAGGGAGGCUAGCGUUGCUCGGAAUGACUGGUCGUAAAGGGCGAGUAGGCGGAGUGCACACUCAGGCGUGACAUUCCUGGGCUUAACCUGGGGACUGCGUCUGAGACGUGUGAUCUAGAGUGAGGAAGAGGUUCGUGGAAUUUCCAGUGUAGAGGUGAAAUUCGUAGAUAUUGGAAAGCACACCGGUGGCGAAGGCGGCGACCUGGUCCCUGACUGCCGCUGAGGCGCGAAAGCGUGGGGAGCAAACAGG